UUUUAAGUAACCUAGAGGAGGUGCUAAAUUUUUAAUUUAGUGACGAUAUUAAAUAUCCUUAAG
rnacentral:tRNA from 1 species